AAAUCAUGAUGAGGGCACCUCCUCAAUAGUUCUCUAAACUGUUCCCAUGCUUCAAAUAGGAAUUUUGACUCAUGUUGCUGGAAGUUUGCUAUCUCGACCAUCAACUU